GGACGAACGCUGGCGGCGUGCCUAAUACAUGCAAGUCGAGCGGGGUUAUUACAGCAGAUUCCUUCGGGAUGAAGCAGUUCUAACCUAGCGGCGGACGGGUGAGUAACGCGUGGGUAACCUGCCCUAAAGCUCGGGAUAACACCGGGAAACCGGUGCUAAUACCGGAUACCUUCCAGAGGGGGCAUCCUUUCUGGAAGAAAGGUUUACGCUUUAGGAUGGGCCCGCGUCCCAUUAGCUAGUUGGUGAGGUAACGGCUCACCAAGGCCACGAUGGGUAGCCGGCCUGAGAGGGUGACCGGCCACACUGGGACUGAGACACGGCCCAGACUCCUACGGGAGGCAGCAGUAGGGAAUAUUGCGCAAUGGGGGAAACCCUGACGCAGCGACGCCGCGUGAGUGAUGAAGGCCUUCGGGUUGUAAAACUCUGUCCUUGGGGAAGAAGUACUGACGGUACCCAAGGAGGAAGCCCCGGCUAACUACGUGCCAGCAGCCGCGGUAAUACGUAGGGGGCGAGCGUUGUCCGGAAUUACUGGGCGUAAAGGGUGCGUAGGCGGCCCUUUAAGUCAGAUGUGAAAGGCCACGGCUUAACCGUGGGAUUGCAUUUGAAACUGGAGGGCUUGAGUGU
rnacentral:rRNA from 1 species